UGAGUAACCUGCCCUCCACUCUGGGAUAAGCCUGGGAAACUGGGUCUAAUACCGGAUAUGACUCCUCAUCGCAUGGUGGGGGGUGGAAAGCUUUUUAUGGUUUUGGAUGGACUCGCGGCCUAUCAGCUUGUUGGUGAGGUAAUGGCUCACCAAGGCGACGACGGGUAGCCGGCCUGAGAGGGUGACCGGCCACACUGGGACUGAGACACGGCCCAGACUCCUACGGGAGGCAG
rnacentral:rRNA from 1 species